GAAAGCAGUCGGACCCUCCUGGUAGACCAGCGCCACAAUGUCAUUACCAAUGUGUCUCUUUCUUUGCAGCUGUGGGACAAGGAGGAGAUAUUUCUCAGUACUGGCAGUCUGCGCGCAGCCAAAAAUGAAAACGACAGCUCCGCAUCAUGAAGCCGACUGACCCGUGAGCGGAAGAAGUCCCGGUAGAUGUUGGCCUCGCCGUCCCUUUCCAUGAGUUCGUAGCUGUGUGCUGGGAGGCCGCGAUGGGAGGAGGUCAGACCGGCAUCUGCAAGCUUCGCCAAAGGAGGGUCUAUCCAGUAGCCCCCCAGCUUCGCCGGGAGGAUGAUUGGCAGCUCUC